rnacentral:rRNA from 1 species
GUGGAUUAGAUACCCUGGUAGUCCACGCUGUAAACGAUGUCUGCUAGCCGUUGGGAUCCUUGAGGUCUCGGUGGCGCAGCUAACGCGAUAAGCAGACCGCCUGGGGAGUACGGCCGCAAGGUUAAAACUCAAAUGAAUUGACGGGGGCCCGCACAAGCGGUGGAGCAUGUGGUUUAAUUCGAUGCAACGCGAAGAACCUUACCACCCCUUGACAUCCAGAGAACUUUCCAGAGAUGGAUUGGUGCCUUCGGGAACUCUGAGACAGGUGCUGCAUGGUCGUCGACAACU